rnacentral:rRNA from 1 species
AUACGUAGGGAGCGAGCGUUGUCCGGAAUUACUGGGUGUAAAGGGAGCGUAGGCGGGAGUGCAAGUCAGAUGUGAAAUGCAUGGGCUUAACCCAUGAGCUGCAUUUGAAACUGCAUUUCUUGAGUGAAGUAGAGGUAAGCGGAAUUCCUGGUGUAGCGGUGAAAUGCGUAGAUAUCAGGAGGAACACCGGUGGCGAAGGCGGCUUACUGGGCUUUUACUGACGCUGAGGCUCGAAAGCGUGGGGAGCAAACAGGAUUAGAUACCCUGGUAGUCCACGCUGUAAACGAUGAUUACUAGGUGUGGGAGGUAUCGACUCCUUCCGUGCCGGAGUUAACACAAUAAGUAAUCCACCUGGGGAGUACGGCCGCAAGGUUGAAACUCAAAUGAAUUGACGGGG